UAUAACCAAAAAUGCAUUAAAAUAUAAGACUACAUCACAUGGCCAUAACUAUAGUCUAAAAAAUACUUGGUCAAAAUUGUGUUUUCUUAAAAUGCAAAUAGCUUGUCCAAAUCCACACCCUCAGGCAUAUGCAGAUUAAAUUGCUUAGCAUAACAUGAAACCUUCGACUCUUCAAAGUUGGAAGCCAAGGAUUAACUUACCUUGCACAAGUGAUGAUGAACAAACCAGGACAGAGACAGCAACAACAGAGACGCAGCAGUUGGAAGGCAGAAAAUUGGCUCAAGGAUGGCUACAAUCUACCGGUGCACACGAACGAAAGUUUACGCAGGGGUGGGUGUGGCUUUCGUUUGCAAUUCAUUGAUUAGGGAUUGAAUUUUCCCUUUAUAUUAUAUUAUUCUUGUAAUGGGCAAACCCCCUUUCUUUAAUUUUAAACCGGUAAAAUUUUACUUUUAAAAUAAUAUUUAACCGACUUGUAACCGGUUAUAUGUAAUUUAAUCAAUUUCUUUUAUUGAAUUAUAAUUAUUUAGAAUCGUUAAUUUAAUUUAACGGUCCACGUCCAUUACGGUAUCAAUACCGUAAAUUUAAUUACGGCAUCAUAGAAUUUUCCUUUUUCUUUUUACAUCUAUUCUGUUUAGAAUCAACAAUGCAGGCUUCCCAGAGCUGAGUCAUUACCAGAAGGAAUAGUGUCCAAAACAUCAAAUCUGGAAAUCUGGCCUUUAUGGAGCUCCCCAUCAAAACUUGUAUGUGAGAUUGUGAACGACCACUGUUAGAAUCUAAUAGCUCAUAACCUAUAGUCAAAUUCUACUUAAUUUAUUUGUGAUUGCUUUUAAGUAAAUGGCAAAUAAAAUCCUGUUCACUCAUACGCAAUUUCCUUUUCCUGUGAGUCAUGAGCUGUUUGUUGCUUCAUGAAUUUGAAUUUUCAUAAUUUUUUUCUUUUAAUUUCUUUUUAAUGCUCAUAUUACAUAGUUUUGUGUCAGAACAAUCAAAAGUCUCCGAUGAACUUGUUAGCCAUCGCAGUUGGAAUUAAGCAAAAGAAGAUAGUUGAUCAACUGCUGUACCGUACAUCCGCCUUGGCCGUACAGCAGAAAAGGUACUGAGGCUAAACCCUGACCUCUGGUUACCGCACUUUCAUUUGUGUGUAAAGUCUCCCAAAUUCUUUAGUCAUGGCGUAAUAGAUUCUCUUAUAUAUAUAAUGAAUAAUGUUGUUAACAGAAGCCCCUGAACUUAGAAUUACUGCCACUUCUUUAUAUUCUUAGUUCUAAUAAGGCAAGAGUGAGUUUUGGUAUAUCUAAUGGGAUAUAGAAAGGUAUUUACCCCCAUUUUAUCUAGCAACUUCAAAACCUGGUAAGUCUCUCGCAAAACCUGAAUUUAGAUGGAUGGACUUCAAAUUAAUCCUAAUAAAUUUUUUAAAAAAUGGAAAGAAAAAUUGAGUAACUGCGGCAAAAUUAUGCAAAGAAAUUAAACUGGCUGAGAAGAUGGAGCAACUUAAAUGUGCUUGAUGUAGCAAAUUAAAUGAUUGGACUAAGAUACUUGAUUCCCCAAAAGUCAGUGUCUUCAAAGUGUUGAAACUUGAAAGGAAAACACAACCCUUCACUCAAAACAAAGACCUGGAAUGACUAAGAUAGAAUUUCAUACACAUGAAAGAAAUUACGAGGGCUAAUUUGCUUUUCUAAUAAUCUCUUUCUUAAUGAUGGCAUUUUGACUUGUGUGGGAAUGAAGUGGGAACAAUGAUGAUGAUGGGGACAAUAAUGGGAAGAGGACAUGAUUAUUGAUGUUGGCUUAAUUCUGCGGGCAUUGAGAGUUAAAAGAAGAGAGAGAGAGAUGAUGAAAAAAUAGAAAAUUCAUUCUAUAGUUUCUGUGCUCCUCUCUCUCUCUCUCUCACACACAUCAUGCCCGAGGACGAAAACAGAGUAAAGAUGCAAAAUUGUGCACAGAAGGAAUAUUAUAUCAGAUAAUAUAAAAUUGAAUGAGAGAUCUGGAACUAAAUUGCUUAGCAUAACAUGAAACCUUCGACUCUUCAAAGUUGGAAGCCAAGGAUUAACUUACCUUGCACAAGUGAUGAUGAACAAACCAGGACAGAGACAGCAACAACAGAGACGCAGCAGUUGGAAGGCAGAAAAUUGGCUCAAGGAUGGCUACAAUCUACCGGCGCGCUCGAACGGAAGUUUACGCAGGGGUGGGUGUGGCUUUCGUUUGCAAUUCAUUGAUUAGGGAUUGAAUUUUGCCUUUAUAUUAUAUUAUUCUUGUAAUAGGCAAACCCCCUUUCUUUAAUUUUAAACUGGUAAAAUUUUACUUUUAAAAUAAUAUUUAACCGACUUGUAAUCGGUUAUAUGUAAUUUAAUCAAUUUCUUUUAUUGAAUUAUAAUUGUUUAGAAUCGUUG
rnacentral:lncRNA from 1 species